rnacentral:rRNA from 1 species
CUCAGUAACACGUGGAUAACCUACCCUUAGGACCGGAAUAACCCCGGGAAACUGGGGAUAAUACCGGAUAAGCCAUAGACGCUGGAAUGCCCUAUGGUUCAAAGCUCCGGCGCCUAAGGAUGGAUCUGCGGGUCUAUCAGGUUGUAGUGGGUGUAACGUACCUACUAGCCGACGACGGAUACGGGUUGUGAGAGCAAGAGCCCGGGAGAUGGAUUCUGAGACACGAAUCCAGGCCCUACGGGGGUGCAGCAGGCGCGAACACUUUACAAUGCGGGAAACCGCGAUAAGGGGAACCCCGAGUGCCAGCAUCAAAUGUUGGCUGUCCAGAUGAUUAAAAAUCAUUUGUUAGCAAGGGCCGGGCAAGACCGGUGCCAGCCGCCGCGGUAACACCGGCGGCCCGAGUGGUAGCCGUUUUUAUUGGGUCUAAAGGGUCCGUAGCCGGCCUGAUAAGUCCUUUGGGAAAUCUGGCAGCUUAACUGUCAGGCUUCUAAGGGAUACUGUCAGGCUUGGGACCGGAAGAGGUAAGGGGUACUCCAGGGGUAGGAGUGAAAUCUUGUAAUCCCUGGGGGACCAUCUGUGGCGAAGGCGCCUUACCAGAACGGGUCCGACGGUGAGGGACGAAAGCUAGGGGAGCAAACCGGAUUAGAUACCCGGGUAGUCCUAGCUGUAAACGAUGCUCGCUAGGUGUCAGACACGGGGCGACCGUGUUUGGUGCCGCAGGGAAGGGGGGGUGCGGGCGACCUGGGAAGUACGGUCGCAAGGCUGAAACUUAAA